ensembl:lncRNA
GUGGUCUCUAAGGUUAACAACAGCUGAGGUUAACUGUGGCUGUUAUUAGGUGUCUGUAGGCUAUUAGACAAGAAGGCCAGAAAACUGGGUCAAAAGCCACAGCCACGUCCUUCCCAAAGAAAUCCCAGUGUGCCUCAUCACACCGGAAGAAGCCCUCCAACCUUCAGUGCCCCUCCCCACUCCCCCGAAAGAUACAACACAGCACUGAAUCAGAAAGAACACCAGGGAACAUUCUAGAACACUACAAGGAAAGGAUUGUAACCCGAGAAUUAUAUAUACAGCCAAGAUAUCCUUUGUAACAGUGACAGGUAUUUGCAGACAUGCAACGACUUGGAGGUUUGAGCACGUACAGAGGAAUCUGGGGACAUAACUGGGGCACAAAUUGACAUCCACGUAUGAACGUGAUGGAGUGACAGAAACCAGACCUUGCCCUCCAUCUGAUGGACAAAAUAUGUGUGAGACGUUUCUGAUAGUUGUCAGGCUACAGCUGUCUGAGAAGGUGAGUCACAUGGCUAAUCCAGCUGACAGCCAAGGGACCGUGUAUCCACUGAGCAACUGGAAAGUGUGUCUGCCUGAGCCCAGCAGACUCCCCAAGAUGGGCAACGAUGGGGAUCUGAGGGGUUGGUUGAGCUUGAAGGACAGAAGACAGGACAGGAGAGGAGUGCCACACAGAGACAGCAACAAAGUUCUGGAGAUCAUCCUUGAGGUAGCAGCUGAAUGCUGAUCAUGGCAUGUCUCCAGGGAAACCAGAACAGCUGGAGAAAGAUGUGCCUUGGGGCAGAGGAAUAAUGAGUUCUGAGGACCAUAAUGAGUUGGAACUAGGAUUCCACCAAGCCAGUUCUGGAAAAUGUAAUUGAAAAGUCUCAGAGGAAUUUGGCCUUCGUAUUAUCCCUGGACUAACACUGUUCUUUCUCUGAGAAAGCAUAAAAUCAAGCUUCAGAAAAACCAACCGACCAGUCAAACUGCUCCAAGUAACUUCACUGCUAGAACCAAUCUCAAGAAUAACCAGGCAAAUAUGAAUACUUCCGGCACUGGACAGCUGCUGGUCAGAGUGCAGAGAGUAAGUGCCUGGGAGUGUUCAGUCUGAAGGGAGACAUCCGAGUCGCUCCAUCUUUCCCUGUAUGGCUCCAGGAAUAUUGUGGAACAUGGGGCAGAAAGCUUGUGAGAGCCAGAGGUUGAAGGACGCUGAAGUAAAGCGGUAUCUUGUGGAGGUGACAGAGCCCUGCAUUCAUCCACUCACAGCAGCCUCGGCUGCCUCCACAGACCUGCAAACACCCAAGCUGGUCAGCAGUCCAGCACUGCACAGAGAGAAGAGGGUCAGGACGCCCCACACCUAGCUGAGCAGUCAUUGACUGCCAGUGACUGUCGGGAAAAGGAGAGUUAUUUCCCUAAGUAGUGUGGCCACAGGCGGGUUGAUUCCUUACCCCCUUGCACACAUGGGCAACACUAACUAGGCUCAUUGGGUUAUAAAAUAAUAAAAUAAUAAUAAGAAAACAGGUAGUUGUGGAUAUGAUGGAGGGAAAGCCAGGGGGAAUGGUGCAGAUGUGAUUGAAAUACACUGUAUUUGUAUAUAAAAUAUCAAAUUAUCCAUUGUUAAAGAAGCAGAAAAAAUACCUUGUAGUAAUGUGGGGGAAAGCAAUUGUAGAACACAAUAAAAACAACAGAUGAGAGCAUCCAC